rnacentral:rRNA from 1 species
GAUGAACGCUGGCGGCGUGCCUAAUACAUGCAAGUCGAGCGAACAGACGAGGAGCUUGCUCCUCUGACGUUAGCGGCGGACGGGUGAGUAACACGUGGAUAACCUACCUAUAAGACUGGGAUAACUUCGGGAAACCGGAGCUAAUACCGGAUAAUAUAUUGAACCGCAUGGUUCAAUAGUGAAAGACGGUUUUGCUGUCACUUAUAGAUGGAUCCGCGCCGCAUUAGCUAGUUGGUAAGGUAACGGCUUACCAAGGCAACGAUGCGUAGCCGACCUGAGAGACUGGUAGCCGACGCGGGAGGUGAGAAGGGCUCCAUCGGACUGAGGGAGGACGCAGAAGGGAAACUGCGGCAAUAGGGGAAAACAUGAAGGAAUAGCGCGGCGUGAGAGAUGAAGACGUUCGGAUCGUAAAGCUGUGUUAUUAGGGAAAAACAGAUUUGGACGGAAACAUACACGUAUUGACGGUACCGAGUAAGAAAGCAACGGCUAAAUACGUG